rnacentral:rRNA from 1 species
UACGUAGGGUGCGAGCGUUAAUCGGAAUUACUGGGCGUAAAGCGUGCGCAGGCGGUUUUGUAAGCCAGAUGUGAAAUCCCCGGGCUUAACCUGGGAAUGGCAUUUGGGACUGCAAGGCUGGAGUUUGGCAGAGGAGACUGGAAUUCCUGGUGUAGCAGUGAAAUGCGUAGAUAUCAGGAGGAACACCGGUGGCGAAGGCGGAUCUCUGGGCCUUACCUGACGCUGAGGCGCGAAAGCUAGGGGAGCGAACAGG